GUCCCUGGAUUAUGAUCUCGCAAAUCACAGUGCAAGCCGAAAGCUGACUCCAGGAUACAAUGCCUCUCCAAAGCCACUGCUGUCCCCUAACAAAAGGAAAUUUGACUCGAGGAAGAAACAAUCUAUCAGCCCUGCCAACAUCUCUGAGGAUGAGACUGGAAUUGAGAGCCAAGGUCAAGAAUCAGACUGUAAUAUAACCCCCCUUCGAGAAAGAAAACUAGAGAGAGCUGUGACAAAGAAAAAUGGGAGCUUCUUUUUGUCCUCUGAUGAAGAUUAACCAAGGAGCAAGAAAAGCAGGAGGUCCACCAGAGAGUCCUCGUCUGAUGAAAGCAUCCAAGAAAAUCAAGAAAGCGUUGACGGAGACUCUGAUGUUUAGCUGAGCUGAGAGUUGGUGCUCUGUGAGCUAAGUAUUGUAGUUAAGUUAAUUUGGCAGUACAUUAUAUUAAAGCAAGUCAGAAUAUGAAAAAUUAGAAUUUAUUAUCUUUGUCAAGCAAGAAAUUUAUAUUUCUCUCCUACAACUUAAAGCUCAAUAACAGUUAUAGUUACACCAAUAAAAAAACAUUUUACAGAAAUUUCGGUGAUAAAUUCACGUUCUUAUGUUGAAAGGUGGAAUGUAACCUAAUUGCAUUAGGGUAUCACCUUGAAAUUUUAACAGCCAACCUAGUUUUUUACCAUGAACAACUUUAAAUUUUCCAAAAAUUCAGAAGUUCAAGGUUACCUUUCUCAAUAAUUGUUUUUCAAAAAUUCAAUAUUGAGACCCUUAGAUUUUUCGGGGUUGAGGGAUGAAAUAAUGUAGCCCUUGAAAUUCUGCACAAGCUCACCAAGUUUCAACAAUGUGCAACAAUAGUUUUGCUUUAAUUUGAAUAAAUUAAAAACCGACUCGAGGCCGCUCGAUCGAGCAUGGCCUUAAGUCGGCGAGUUCGCCGAUCAUUCAUUGAUAAUACUUU